UGGGGAAUCUUGGACAAUGGGCGCAAGCCUGAUCCAGCCAUGCCGCGUGAGUGAAGAAGGCCUUCGGGUUGUAAAGCUCUUUUACCAGGGACGAUAAUGACGGUACCUGGAGAAUAAGCCCCGGCAAACUUCGUGCCAGCAGCCGCGGUAAUACGAAGGGGGCUAGCGUUGUUCGGAAUUACUGGGCGUAAAGCGCACGUAGGCGGAUUGUUAAGUCAGAGGUGAAAUCCCGGAGCUCAACUUCGGAACUGCCUUUGAUACUGGCAAUCUCGAGUCCGGAAGAGGUUAGUGGAAUUCCCAGUGUAGAGGUGAAAUUCGUAGAUAUUGGGAGGAACACCUGUGGCGAAGGCGGCCACCUGGUUGGAUACUGACGCUGAGACGCGAAAGCGUGGGGAGCAAACAGGAUUAGAUACCCUUGUAGUCCCUGAGCGGGCUGGCAAGGCGCAU
rnacentral:rRNA from 1 species